rfam:Myotis davidii contig196562, whole genome shotgun sequence.
GGUGGUUCUCAGGUAACACACCCCAGAAUCAGGCUCCCUCCUCUCUGGUUCCAGGGUGCAUCACCUGAGAACCCCA